rnacentral:rRNA from 1 species
GUAGCGGCGAGCGAACGCGGAUUAGCCCAAACCAAUAAAGUUUUCUUUGUUGGGGUUGCGGACAUAUCAUAACGAAGAGGUAUCGUAAUUGAAGAGGUUUGGAAAGACCCACCACAGAAGGUAAUAGGCCUGUAUGUUAAACGAGAAGACUUUAGAUAUGAUCCAGAGUACCACGGGACACGUGAAACCCUGUGGGAAGCAGGAGGGACCACCCUCCAAGGCUAAAUACUACCUAGUGACCGAUAGCGUAUAGUACCGUGAGGGAAAGGUGAAAAGAACCCCGGGAGGGGAGUGAAAUAGAACCUGAAACCCUGCACUUACAAGCUGUGGAAGCACAUUUCUUGUGUGACCGCGUACUUUUUGUAGAACGGGCCAACGAGUUACG